GACGAACGCUGGCGGCGUGCUUAACACAUGCAAGUCGAACGGAAAGGCCUUUUCGGAGGUACUCGAGUGGCGAACGGGUGAGUAACACGUGGGUGAGCUGCCCUGCACUCUGGGAUAAGCCUGGGAAACUGGGUCUAAUACCGGAUAGGACCGCACUUUAGAGUGUGUGGGGGCAAGUUUUUUCGGUGUAGGAUGAGCCCGCGGCCUAUCAGCUUGUUGGUGGGGUAAUGGCCUACCAAGGCGGCGACGGGUAGCCGGACUGAGGGGUUGGGCGGCCACAUUGGGACUGAGAUACGGCCCAGGCUCCGACGGGAGGCAGCAGUGGGGAAGAUUGACCAAGGGGCGCCAGCCUGAUGCAGCGACGCCGCGUGGGGGAUGACGGCCUUCGGGUUGUAGACUCCUUGCGCCAGGGACGAAGCGUUUUGUGACGGUACCUGGAGAAGAAGCACCGGCUAACUACGUG
rnacentral:rRNA from 1 species